rnacentral:rRNA from 1 species
UACAGAGGCCUCGAGCGUUAGGCGGAAUCACUGGGCUUAAAGCGUGUGUAGGCGGACGUCUAAGUACCUUGUGAAAUCCCACGGCUCACCCGUGGAACGGCUGGGUAUACUGGUCGUCUUGAGCCUUCUAGGGGCUACCGGAACAAAUGGUGGAGCGGUGAAAUGCGUAGAGAUCCGGAGGAACACCGACGGCGUAGGCAGCGCCCUGGCUGUGAAUAAAGCUGACACUGAGGCACGAAAGCUGGGGGAGCAAACAGG